rnacentral:rRNA from 1 species
GACGAACGCUGGCGGCGUGCUUAACACAUGCAAGUCGAACGGAAAGGCCCUUCGGGGUACUCGAGUGGCGAACGGGUGAGUAACACGUGGGUGAUCUGCCCUGCACUUUGGGAUAAGCCUGGGAAACUGGGUCUAAUACCGAAUAUGACCGCGCUCUUCAUGGGGUGUGGUGGAAAGCUUUUGCGGUGUGGGAUGGGCCCGCGGCCUAUCGGCUUGUUGGUGGGGUAAUGGCCUACCAAGGCGACGACGGGUAGCCGGCCUGAGAGGGUGACCGGCCACACUGGGACUGAGAUACGGCCCAGACUCCUACGGGAGGCAGCAGUGGGGAAUAUUGCACAAUGGGCGCAAGCCUGAUGCAGCGACGCCGCGUGAGGGAUGACGGCCUUCGGGUUGUAAACCUCUUUCAAUAGGGACGAAGCGCAAGUGACGGUACCUAUAGAAGAAGGACCGGCCAACUACGUGCCAGCAGCCGCGGUAAUACGUAGGGUCCGAGCGUUGUCCGGAAUUACUGGGCGUAAAGAGCUCGUAGGUGGUUUGUCGCGUUGUUCGUGAAAACUCACAGCUUAACUGUGGGCGUGCGGGCGAUACGGGCAGACUAGAGUACUGCAGGGGAGACUGGAAUUCCUGGUGUAGCGGUGGAAUGCGCAGAUAUCAGGAGGAACACCGGUGGCGAAGGCGGGUCUCUGGGCAGUAACUGACGCUGAGGAGCGAAAGCGUGGGGAGCGAACAGGAUUAGAUACCCUGGUAGUCCACGCCGUAAACGGUGGGUACUAGGUGUGGGUUUCCUUCCUUGGGAUCCGUGCCGUAGCUAACGCAUUAAGUACCCCGCCUGGGGAGUACGGCCGCAAGGCUAAAACUCAAAGGAAUUGACGGGGGCCCGCACAAGCGGCGGAGCAUGUGGAUUAAUUCGAUGCAACGCGAAGAACCUUACCUGGGUUUGACAUGCACAGGACGCCAGUAGAGAUAUUGGUUCCCUUGUGGCCUGUGUGCAGGUGGUGCAUGGCUGUCGUCAGCUCGUGUCGUGAGAUGUUGGGUUAAGUCCCGCAACGAGCGCAACCCUUGUCUCACGUUGCCAGCACGUAAUGGUGGGGACUCGUGAGAGACUGCCGGGGUCAACUCGGAGGAAGGUGGGGAUGACGUCAAGUCAUCAUGCCCCUUAUGUCCAGGGCUUCACACAUGCUACAAUGGCCGGUACAAAGGGCUGCGAUGCCGUGAGGUGGAGCGAAUCCUUUCAAAGCCGGUCUCAGUUCGGAUCGGGGUCUGCAACUCGACCCCGUGAAGUCGGAGUCGCUAGUAAUCGCAGAUCAGCAACGCUGCGGUGAAUACGUUCCCGGGCCU